UACAGGGGGGGCAAGCGUUGUCCGGAAUUACUGGGCGUAAAGGGCUCGUAGGUGGCCAACUAAGUCAGACGUGAAAUCCCUCAGCUUAACUGGGGAACUGCGUCUGAUACUGGAUGGCUUGAGUUUGGGAGAGGGAUGCGGAAUUCCAGGUGUAGCGGUGAAAUGCGUAGAUAUCUGGAGGAACACCGGUGGCGAAGGCGGCAUCCUGGACCAACACUGACACUGAGGAGCGAAAGCCAGGGGAGCAAACGGG
rnacentral:rRNA from 1 species